rnacentral:rRNA from 1 species
GAUGAACGCUAGCUACAGGCUUAACACAUGCAAGUCGAGGGGCAGCAUUUUAGUUUGCUUGCAAACUGAAGAUGGCGACCGGCGCACGGGUGAGUAACACGUAUCCAACCUACCGAUAACUCCGGAAUAGCCUUUCGAAAGAAAGAUUAAUACCGGAUAGCAUACGAAUAUCGCAUGAUAUUUUUAUUAAAGAAUUUCGGUUAUCGAUGGGGAUGCGUUCCAUUAGUUUGUUGGCGGGGUAACGGCCCACCAAGACUACGAUGGAUAGGGGUUCUGAGAGGAAGGUCCCCCACAUUGGAACUGAGACACGGUCCAAACUCCUACGGGAGGCAGCAGUGAGGAAUAUUGGUCAAUGGGCGAGAGCCUGAACCAGCCAAGUAGCGUGAAGGAUGAAGGCUCUAUGGGUCGUAAACUUCUUUUAUAUGGGAAUAAAGUUUUCCACGUGUGGAAUUUUGUAUGUACCAUAUGAAUAAGGAUCGGCUAACUCCGUGCCAGCAGCCGCGGUAAUACGGAGGAUCCGAGCGUUAUCCGGAUUUAUUGGGUUUAAAGGGAGCGUAGGUGGAUUGUUAAGUCAGUUGUGAAAGUUUGCGGCUCAACCGUAAAAUUGCAGUUGAAACUGGCAGUCUUGAGUACAGUAGAGGUGGGCGGAAUUCGUGGUGUAGCGGUGAAAUGCUUAGAUAUCACGAAGAACUCCGAUUGCGAAGGCAGCUCACUAGACUGUCACUGACACUGAUGCUCGAAAGUGU